AUUGAACGCUGGCGGCAGGCCUAACACAUGCAAGUCGAGCGGAUGAAGGGAGCUUGCUCCUGGAUUCAGCGGCGGACGGGUGAGUAAUGCCUAGGAAUCUGCCUGGUAGUGGGGGAUAACGUCCGGAAACGGGCGCUAAUACCGCAUACGUCCUGAGGGAGAAAGUGGGGGAUCUUCGGACCUCACGCUAUCAGAUAAGCCUAGGUCGGAUUAGCUAGUUGGUGGGGUAAAGGCCUACCAAGGCGACGAUCCGUAACUGGUCUGAGAGGAUGAUCAGUCACACUGGAACUGAGACACGGUCCAGACUCCUACGGGAGGCAGCAGUGGGGAAUAUUGGACAAUGGGCGAAAGCCUGAUCCAGCCAUGCCGCGUGUGUGAAGAAGGUCUUCGGAUCGUAAAGCACUUUAAGUUGGGAGGAAGGGCAGUAAGUUAAUACCUUGCUGUUUUGACGUUACCAACAGAAUAAGCACCGGCUAACUUCGUG
rnacentral:rRNA from 1 species